rnacentral:rRNA from 1 species
UACGUAGGUGGCAAGCGUUGUCCGGAAUUACUGGGCGUAAAGGGCGUGUAGGCGGCCAUUUAAGUCAGACGUGAAAACCCUGGGCUUAACCUGGGGACGGCGUUUGAGACUGAGUGGCUAGAGGAUCGGAGAGGGCAGUGGAAUUCCCAGUGUAGCGGUGAAAUGCGUAGAUAUUGGGAAGAACACCAGUGGCGAAGGCGGCUGCCUGGACGACACCUGACGCUGAGGCGCGAAAGCUAGGGGGAGCAAAACGGG